GUUAGGAAUAUUGGACAAUGGACGCAAGUCUGAUCCAGCCAUGCCGCGUGAGUGAUGAAGGCCUUCGGGUUGUAAAGCUCUUUAGCCGAUGAUUAUAAUGACUGUAGUCGGAAAAUAAGCCCCGGCUAACUUCGUGCCAGCAGCCGCGGUAAUACGAAGGGGGCGAGCGUUAUUCGGAAUCACUGGGCGUAAAGCGUGCGUAGGCUGUUUUGUAAGUCAGAAGUGAAAGCCCAGGGCUUAACCCUGGAAUUGCUUUUGAAACUACAAGACUCGAAUUCGGGAGAGGAUAGCGGAAUUGUCAGUGUAGCAGUGAAAUGCGUAGAUAUUGACAGGAACACCAGUGGCGCAAGCGGCUAUCUGGACCGAUAUUGACGCUGAGGCACGAAAGCGUGGGGAGCAAACAGGAUUAGAUACCCUUGUAGUCC
rnacentral:rRNA from 1 species